UUAUGCCAAGUAGUACCUUUCUCCUAACUAAAUCCUUGAAAAACUGACUUCCAACUGAAUUGUAGAGGUAGGCAGCAGGUACAGGCGCAACUACUUAGCCAGCCGGCGGAGAUCAGGACUCAAUUGUGGGGACAUGGCGGUCGAAUCAAAUUCGAUACGCCAGCGUGGACCCAGAAGAUGCUGAAGUGAUCCUCGCCGGGGUUGUAUAAAAAGUAACGAAUGUGCGCAAUAAUAAAAAUCAUUAAAAUAAAAAUGUUUAUGAGAAGGCA
rnacentral:sRNA from 1 species